UUCUUCGUCUGCUUCUGCUUCCUCAGGCGACGCCGUCGUGAACUCGUCUCUGUAUCCUCCGUCUCCGUCUCCGUCGCCGUCGGAUCUCCGGUGGUCUCGCAAACUGGGCUUUCCGGCGAAUCGACAGUGGAGGAUGUUGGUAAAAGGGUUCUGCCUUUGAGAUUCGGUCGCUCUUCACCGCCUCGAUGGUGGCCUUACGCUUGUCAGUCUCAGAGACCAUGCAGGGAUUAUCCAGAAUUGGUGGAGGAAGUUUGAGUAUUUAUAAGAGAGAGGUCCAAGAAAAGGCCUUGGAGAUCAUUGGAAUUUCACCAGGAGAUGUCAGAAACGGUGUUCCGGCUGGAAAUUACAGAGAAAUUACCGAUUUUGUAUUUGAUUGGUUAAGGAUGUUAAACCAUUAUUAAUAACUGUUCAGAUCUUCUGGAACCAGAAGAUGCUGAUAACAUGGUAUUCAAUUUCAAUUCAACAACUGGGUGUUGGUAUCUGACGUAUUAUUGUUCAGAUAUUUGUGAAGAAGAUCUACAAUGAUAUCAUAUCAAAAGAUGAAAUAAAAAAACGAACAUAUUCUUGAUU